rnacentral:misc_RNA from 1 species
UGCGGCUGGAUCCCCUCCUUUCUAGACGAAGCGUCUGCUUCAGUUCCCACCCUCUAUCGGCUGUUCUGCGAACGGACAGCAAGCUUCAACAAUUGCGACCCAGGCGGGUCUGUAGCUCAGUUGGUUAGAGCACCGUCUUGAUAAGGCGGGGGUCGAUGGUUCGAAUCCAUCCAGACCCACCAACCGACAGGCUCGAGGCGCCGACUGAAGGGGCUCGAGAGGGCAGCGUAAGACCUGCGGGGCCAUAGCUCAGCUGGGAGAGCGCCUGCUUUGCAAGCAGGAGGUCACCGGUUCGAUCCCGGUUGGCUCCACCAGCGAAGAGCGGGGAAGGCGGAAGGCAUUCGAGGAAGUAAUCACGAGCGUCGCGAUGUCGCGCGAGGCUCGUGAGUGCUUCUUCUUCAGGAAGCAUCUAGAGGCUGUUCUUUAACAAUUUGGGAUAGAAGGUAGUUGUUCGAGCGAAAGGGAUGUUGUGAUGACAUCUCGAGUAGGUCGAACACUGGGUUAUGUAUUGCAUCGUGUCUUCACUUCGAAAGGAGUGGGGAUGCACAAGCGCGAGAGUUUCCUAUGACUGCGCGUUGCAAGCGACUUUGGUUUGCAACUGCUGCACCGCAAGGUGCGGCGGCAAGGUUAUAGGGUCAAGCGAAUAAGUGCAUGUGGUGGAUGCCUUGGCGAUGACAGGCGAAGAAGGACGUGACAGCCUGCGAAAAGCUGCGGGGAGCCGGCAAAUGGGCGCUGAUCCGCAGAUAUCCGAAUGGGGAAACCCGG